rnacentral:rRNA from 1 species
GACGAACGCUGGCGGCGUGCUUAACACAUGCAAGUCGAACGGAAAGGCCCUGCUUUUGUGGGGUGCUCGAGUGGCGAACGGGUGAGUAACACGUGAGUAACCUGCCCUUGACUUUGGGAUAACUUCAGGAAACUGGGGCUAAUACCGGAUAGGAGCUCCUGCUGCAUGGUGGGGGUUGGAAAGUUUCGGCGGUUGGGGAUGGACUCGCGGCUUAUCAGCUUGUUGGUUGGGUAGUGGCUUACCAAGGCUUUGACGGGUAGCCGGCCUGAGAGGGUGACCGGCCACAUUGGGACUGAGAUACGGCCCAGACUCCUACGGGAGGCAGCAGUGGGGAAUAUUGCACAAUGGGCGGAAGCCUGGUGCGGCAACGCCGCGUGGGGGAUGACGGCCUGCGGGUUGUAAACCGCUGUCGCCUGUGACGAAGCGUGAGUGACGGUAAUGGGUAAAGAAGCACCGGCUAACUACGUG